rnacentral:lncRNA from 1 species
AAGGCUGGUUGCAGAACAGGCCGGUCCACACUAGCUUGGGCACCUCCUGGGUGGACAACACCCGGUGUCUCAGGCUUUGAAACUCCACUCUGUGGCAGUGCCACUCAACCCCAUGGCACCCUCGCUCCUGUGCCCAUGGAGAGGCCAUCUGGAUCACCUGCUCAGGAUUGUCAAAGAAAACAACACAGGAUUCCAGGCAGACCUUCAACUGCUCAUCCACUGACAGGUGCCCAGGUAUCCCUCCCGCCACUUCCCUGUCCACGCCCCAUCCAGAUCCUGCAGCGGGGUGACCACAGCCACCUUUGCAGAGGAGGGCGAGCUGCGCAUGUAAGCGCAUGUACGGUGGCAAGGACCGCCGCUCCCUCCUGCUGCGUGGCGUUCUGGCACGCCAGCUCCUAGAGUGCAAGGACUCCUGAGACCUGGAGGACGCCAAGGUUGUAUGCUGCCACCUGGGCAAUAGCCAGGCUGUGGGCACCCUGGUGGGGGCCACCUUUGGGCCAGGCUCUGGACCCAUGUGGCUGGAGGAGGUGGGGUGGCGGGGCAGCGAGUCACCCUUUGGAGCUGCCCCGCGGAGCCAUUUGGUCACGGAGACUGCCGGCACAAGCACAUGGAGGGCACUGCUCAGGUCCUUCUGUGGCCCUUUGACCUGCCCGCCAGGCUGAGACUCUGCCCAUGACUCUCAGUGUGGUCCUUGGCACCCUCCUGGUUGUCAUCUCACUGGUCCUGGGAGCACGGUGGUUCCAGGGCAGAGGAGCCUUCAGGGGUUCCGGAACGUUGGGGAGUCUGCCCUCGGAAGGCGUUUAUGAGGUCUUUGGAGCUGUCCCCAUGGGGGUAAAGGACGAUGGGCUCAGAGUGUCCAGGGUCCUGGAGCUGGAGGAGGAGUAUGAUGACGCAGAGGAGCCCCUGCUCAGCCCUGAGGAGAGGGAAGCGGAGGAGGGGGCCCCCCUGACCAACGCAGGUGUGCACCUCUGCGCCUUGGCAUCCCUGGUGCUUUUCCUGCUGUACUGCUCCUACGCCCAAGGCUUUUCUCUGGCCAGCCCCUACAUCUAAAGAUCCUCAAAGUGCCUCUCUGUGUGUUUGUGACUCUCACUUCCAUCAUAGGCUUGGUGUUCAGAGUUUAGGGAGGUCCUAGAUUUUUAUGUGGGUUUCUUUCUGUGGUUGCGCUUGUCCCUCCAGUGCCAUGUCCAGCGGCUGCAGGGGCCUGAGCAGACAGGUGGGCAGAGAUGUGCACGCAGCAGCACACUGUCGGCUCGCUCCAUCCAGUCCUUGACCAAGCCUCCAGCCUCACCGUGCGGCAAGAAGCCAGGGCCCAGAAUUCCUGAGGAAUUGCUGAGGGUCCCCAAUGUGUGUCUCUGUCCUUAAACAGAGGUGGGGCUCCUCACAGCUCAGGCUGGGAAGGACGAACAGGGCAGCCUCUGCCCCAGGACAUGCUGACCAUGAGCCAACCACAGGGACCUCCGCAAGACCAGAGGGUGGGGCUUUCAUUUUCCUCAAUUCUUCAAGAGAUUUAUUGUAUCA